CUUUCUACUCUCUCUCUUCUCUAAUACUAGUAUUUUUUUUUUUCAUAUUAGAAUAAAAUAGAGGAUUUUUAUUCAUAAAUUAUUUGCUAUUUCUUACAUAACAUUUUACUUUCUUCAAGUUUUUCACAUAAUUUGGGCAUAAUGUUUCUGUAGGAAGAUGUGGUACUUUCAACUUAGGUCCUCUAUUGUGCAAACAGGUUUGGGUACUUCAGCUGUCUAAUUUUCUUUAUUGCGAAGGUUUUGUUAUUUUCUUUUUUCUUGCCCUUCCCCCAACAUAAUAGAAAGCAUAAAAAUAGGAUUUUAUUUUAUUUUAUUUUUAAAUUAUUAUAAUAAUGCUUGCAUAAGUGUCAUCAAGAAAGUUUUAAUUCCCACAAAAUUAUUUUUAUUUUCCCAAUAUUAUAUGUUCUUGAGCUUUAGCCAAUCAUUAGGUUUUCUAAUAUACUUUUUAAUAACUUGAUCAAUAAUUGCCCUCUUUUCUGAAAAAGUUAGAAUGCAUUGAGCAUAAUAAACAUAAUGCUAGAAUUUUGAAAUACAAUUAAGGAUCAGUAAUUGCCAAGCACCUAUGUCAUAUUCAAAAAUGAAAAAUGACUCUUUACAUCAAUACUUUCCAUAAUGUGCUCUUCUUGAUGAAGGCAAAGGCAGGAAAAAGAUGGAAUAUGAGAUUUCCUGCUGAACCUGGUCAGGGCAGUAAGGAUAGGAACCAUUCAUUUUCUUCCCCUACUUAUUAUAAAUUCCUUCAAAAGUUUAUGAGUGGUGGGUGAUGUAGAACAGAGCUCAUUAGAAUUCAGCGUGCGGGAAGUUCAAGAAGUAGAAAAGUACUAUUAGAAGUCGUUGGAGAUCACGGCAAAAUUGCGUGAAAUUUGGUGACAUGAAGGGAAAUGGUGUUGGGAGUAAAACUCAUAGCCUUUGGCCACGAUCGAACAUGCUUUUUGGUGGGGCAGCUUCAAAUCUUUUCAAGAAAUGAAACCCAAGAACAAGAAUGCACUACCUUCCAGUAAAGAAAGAUUACAGGCAAAAGAUUGGUCAUAAUCCAGAAAUCACAAAAGGCGGACUUACAAAUUGAUUCCAGUACUUUUUAUUCCUAAACUCACUAAGAAUUUGGAAAAUUGACUGCAAUAGGGAGUGUUGAUGACCUUGUUCGUGUUAUAUGGAAUUUUUCAGAAUCAUGAUGUCCGACAUUUCAGGCUACACACAAAUCAAACAUUAUGUGUGCCUAAGCUCAAGUUGCUGCCUCAUCUACUUGAACAAUUGCAAGUAAGAUAUUUUGAAAUCAAAAAGAGUAAACAAGAGUGGAUGACUUUCCACUAUAGUUGCAGAACCUUUAUUUAGUUGAUGAGAUGUCUAUAAACAGUUGCAAGAAGUUGAGAUAUCUACCAGCAUGGGUGUGGUGCCUCACUAAAUAACAGAUGAUGCCAUGCUGUGUGCACUAUAAGGAAGUAUAACUUGAGAUUCAAAUCAAAUUAAACGAGAAGGUUAACAUCUUUUUUCUUUUGAGAUCAAAUUAUAAUGUUGGGUUAGCUGGAACCAUGACUUGAAUGUACCUGCAAGUGUCAAUUGGGUAUAUUAGGUAUCACUUCGACAAUGAAUCAAGAUUCCUGACAAUUUGUCAGCUGUUCAAAUCCUAUGUUUUCGUUUCCUAACUUAAAGUCUCUGUUGCAGUGACUUCAGCAGUUUUCUAGAUUAUGAGUCUUCUCUUAUUGUCAGUCUUGUUGUCUUAACUACGAGGCCAACCUGUUUGGGUGCUCCACUUCAUAUCCCUGUAUGGAGGGUAACAGCCUACAGAUUGCAGACAAGGCAAUGGACAGAAGUCUCUGUCUGAAAAGUUGACAGUUCUUUACUUAAAUGGGUAAAUAUGAAGUCUACUUCCAGAAGGGAAUAGUUAAAAGCGCUGGAUACUCACUCUUUAGUGCGAUUCUAGUUUUCGAUUCCCUGGGCUGGUAUCUUGUAAAACAUCAAAAGGUAAUGCCAAUUGCAUUAGAAUGUGAAGUGUGCUGUUCAGCGGAGACAUCAUUGCUGCCUGUAUUUAAGACUCCAAUCUUGAUAAUAGGUGACCUUAUCUGCCACGACAAUAGAAUGUCUUCUCUAAGAACUGACUUUAUAUACUGAAGGCAUUGAAAUUUGUUUUCGACCUACAGCCGAAGCAAGGGAGAUAUGGCAAGCUACAAUGAUCCAUAUUGCCCAAGAAGGUGGCUGCUUUGUUCUAUCUUCGAACCAAUUCUGCAAAAAGGGAAGACUAUCUGCUGUCAACAGAAACAACUUGGAGGGUGUUUGAGCAAAGCUAGAUUUUAGUGGAAAUAGGCAUCAAGUGGGACCAAACUCAGUCAAUCUGACUCUGAAUAUACCCAAUCCAAUUUCUUUUACAACUUCUGUGAAAGCGGAAGUUCUUGAUGAGCUGCAAUUAUGACUUAGUUGUGUAAAAAGUUAUUAAAUAAAU